rnacentral:rRNA from 1 species
CAGCCGCGGUAAUUCCAGCUCCAAUAGCGUAUAUUAAAGUUGUUGCAGUUAAAAAGCUCGUAGUUGAAUUUCGGGAUUGACACAUCGGUCGUGCCUUAAGGGGUAUGAACUGGUGUAGUCAAUUUCUCACCUUCUGGAGAACCGCGAUGCCCUUAAUUGGGUGUCACGGGGAACCAGGACCUUUACUUUGAAAAAAUUAGAGUGUUUAAAGCAGGCAUUUGCUUGAAUACAUUAGCAUGGAAUAAUAAAAUAGGACGGCAUGAUUCUAUUUUGUUGGUUUCUAGGAUCACCGUAAUGAUUAAUAGGGAUAGUUGGGGGCAUUAGUAUUCAAUUGUCAGAGGUGAAAUUCUUGGAUUUAUUGAAGACUAACUACUGCGAAAGCAUUUGCCAAGGAUGUUUUCAUUAAUCAAGAACGAAAGUUAGGGGAUCGAAGACGAUCAGAUACCGUCGUAGUCUUAACCAUAAACUAUGCCGACUAGGGAUCGGAUGAUGUUAAUUUUAUAAUGACUCAUUCGGCACCUUACGGGAAAC